ACAAACAAACACAAAUUUGUUGGGGGAAACAUGCCCGAGAGAACGUAUAUCAGUGAAGAGGAGGAGCAUGGGCUUGAGUUUAAAACACUCCUGUCUGAUGGACAUCAAUCUGAGGGCUGCCGGUGGAAACGCCUCCUAGACAACUGGGAUGACAAAACAGUGCACUCAGAACAGCCUUUCAGGACCUGACCUGCUUCUACAUGGAGGAGCUUCUGAACAUGAAGAAUCUUGCAACUGCCUGGCAGCUGCCUCGUUAUUGCCCCGCACAUGUGACAUGCACCUCGGGCGUCUGUUGCCAUUGCUUCACACUGACUUGAGUCACGGCUGGGUCUUCCAGAAGAAAAAAUGAUACUCAUACUGCUGGUUUGGAGGUACUCCGGAUUCUGGUCUCCUUUCACCAUCUGCCUGCUGCCAUUUACUUUUUGGAUUCCCCGAAGAGAUGCUGCAUCGUUCUGCCCAGGUUUUAUAAAGGCAAUCUAUGGGAGAGUCCAGGCAGAGGGUACCCGGUGCUGUUGGUUCCUGAGUUUUUUGAAGAUUCUCUAGUGUGGGACAAGCUCAUUCUUUGCUUUAUCUACUGCCAACUCAAGGCCGGUAAGUCCUUUAUCACCUGCUUCCUAGCUUCUCAUAUUUUGUUGCUGUUUUUUCCUCUCCUGUCCCGCCUGCCUGUGUGGGGUGUGUCUUUAAACAAUCUCUUUACUGUAGUUUUAGUGUAUUUUGGGAGGAAGCAAGUUAGAUGUGCUAUUCACUCUUGCAUCCUAAAAAGGAAGUCUAGAAUGUAUUUUUUUAAAUAUCGGAAAUCAUAACUCUUAAUGUUAAAAUGGGACUUGGAUACCACGUUUGCUGGGCCUCAGUUGGGGACAGAUGACUUAUACAAAGCCACAUAACUAGUAGGGAAGAACAGCUUUCGAACCUGGGACCUGACUUGCCUAAUUUUGUUUGCACUAUACCAGCACGGUGCCCUUUAUGAUCAUUAUGAAAUAACAUUAAAGAAAGCUUUUACUGUGAACUAGUUUAAGACUCAUGAAAAGUUCCAAAACAAUAGUACAGAGGGUUCCCAUGUGGCCUUUGCUCAGCUUCCCCCAACAAUAGUCUUAUAGACAACAGUACAUUGUCAAAACCAGGAGCUUGAUGUUGGCACAAUACUCUGAUGAAGGUCAGGUACAGACUCUCAAGUAACAUUUUGAAUGUAUUAAAUUUGUGUAUUCUGCUAAGCAAAAGCCAGAAGAGGACUCAAUCUUUUCUUACUGAGGAGGCUACAAUCUAAAUAGACAUACAAAGAUAACUCACCAAAUAACACUCAAGUACAGUCCAAAAUAUAUUUUAGAGCCGUCUUCCAGAAAAGCAAGAGGUGGUGAAAACAGGAUGGGCUUUGAAACCAGACGAAUCUAAGUCCGAAUCCAACUUCGCUGCUUAGGAUUUGUGGGUCCCUGGGCAAGGAAUUUCCCUGAGCCUCAUUUUCUUAAUGUAAAAUGGUGACUAUUAUUAUCUACUUCUUAACACGGUGAGAAUGAAAUCAUGUAGAAUAUAGUCUAGAAUAGUGCUUGGUACGUAGUAGCUCUUCAAUAAAUGGUCACCAUAACACCACAAUAAUUAUUAAUAAGAUAAUAAUCCUUAAUAAUCAUAAUCCUCUAGUUGUCCGCUUGAUCUCGUGUCCGGCUCAAACACCAGGUAGGUUUCUACCUCCUAAUUUACUCUGUCGGGUUUAAAUAGAAAUU